rnacentral:misc_RNA from 1 species
CCGAGUUAUACAACUCAUCAACCCUGUGAACAUACCUAAAACGUUGCUUCGGCGGGAACAGACGGCCCUGUAACAACGGGCCGCCCCCGCCAGAGGACCCCUAACUCUGUUUUCUAUAAUGUACUUCUGAGUAAAACCAGAAAUAAAUCA